UCGCCGAAAUUGAAUAUGGAAUUAGAAAGUAGACAGGAGUUUCUUUUAUCAGGUUGGAUCAUGUCUAAACUACAUUGCACAUAUUUUAGCUUGAACCAAAUUAGACCUAAAUAACCAAUGAACCUAAUAGGUCAAGUCAAAUGGGAUUGAUAAUUACAGAAACCAAAUCUAAUCCUAUUUUAAGAAAAUGGAUCUAGACUUUGAUAGGGAUCAGAGCAUGAGUCUUCAACUACAGCUUGGUUAGGCUAUAGCGAAGGUGCAAAUGAGCUGAACUAAGCCGAGUAUCAGGUUGCUUAGCUUGGCUCAACAUAUUAAUCGAAAAGUUUCAUAGCUUUGCUCGAGAUCAAGCUGCACUUUAGAUGAACUGCUCGAGCUCGGCUUGACCAAGUUUUAACAUGAAUCUUCGUUCUCCAAUAGAGUCAUUAUUCACACUUAUUUACGAAGUCGAGCUAGCCCAAGUUGCAGUGAGUUUGUAGACCUGGACCGAAACGCAUUCCCUAAUGUACAACUUUUGCACAUCAUCCAUCUUAGAGAUGUGCAGCUCUCUCUUUUAACUUUCCCAUAUGCUAUGUGUCGCAUUGAAAAAUGCACGGACAUCUUCUAGAAUAUAUGAGAACCGCCCAUCUCUAAGAUGAAUG
rnacentral:lncRNA from 1 species